UCCACCUCUUUUUUAGAGUAUUUUCUUCACCAUGUAGAUAAUCAUCAUAAGAAUUGAUCAUGUAUUCUUGAUUACAUAUGGAGCAGUUUUCAACUGAUUAAGAGGGUCAAUUUUUUUUGGUAAUUUGCUAAUGAUGGUUUUUUUUCCUUUUUGCUUAUUGUUUGCAUGUACCAAAUAUCCAAAUCAUCUGUGAAGGUUGUCCGUCCUACAAGAAUAUGAUAGACCCCCAGUUACUAAAGUGCUUGUGCGUAAGCGUGUGAGGGGAGGAGGUACUAAUACGUGUGAGAAAAAUGUGUAGAUUGAGUGGACCCUAGAGAAUAUUGUUAGUUAGAGGGGCUCGGGUGAGAGGUACGUAACCCAUUGAGGCUGAGGAGGAGAAUUUUCUUUUUGCUGAAUUUCUUGUAAUUGGUUCUCUUUUAUGAGAUCUUGGAGAGGUAGGAGAACUUUCGAAUCCUCCACCCUACUUGUUGAUAUAUAAAUUGAGGCUAAAGCCUAUCAGAAAUACUGCUUUGAUAAUUAUAGAAUUGAUAACAUUUUGGAAGUA